UAAAGCUACUGUUGCCUAGAACCCUUCUCAAAAAAAUGAAAUGCAAUAGCUGCUAGUCGUGGGUUUUCCGCUUAAAAGCUCAGAUCAUCCAUCAGCUCACCGUCUCCUGUAUCAUCAAAUAUUAUGAGCUUGGAGGUCUGGUUUUGUUGACACGCAGACUUGAAAAAUAAAGAAAGAUGAGAUCCCGCCUUCUAGCCAGUCACUUCUGAUGUUCAAGUUAGAAAAUACAAAUUUUAGGAAAAGUGGUCGUUGCCUCAAUCACAAAGACAAUCUCGGAAAAGCUGUAGAGGUAGAAAGAUAAAACUCUCUCAAUGGCAGGUAAAGAUGUUUUGUCGACGGCAAUGGUUCAGUCUAUCCCAACUCAUAUCAUGAGUUUUUUAUGUUGCCAAUGGAGGUAUGUAAUCAUAUUAGUUCCUUGAUUGCUCGAUUCUAGUGAGGGCAGAAAAAGGAGGAGAGGAAGAUUCAUUGGACUUAGCGGCAGCGGCUUUUUUUGUCCAAGAAAUUGGGAGGCGUUGGAUUCCUGGAUAUUCAUUGACCAUGCUCUGAGAGAUUGUCCAUUUUCAACUCGAGUAUGGCGUCUUAGCCCGUUAAAGCUGAUGAUUGAUAGCAAUGGAGUUGUUAUGAACUGGAUUAAAAAAGUUUGCUCUUUUCUUUCGAAUCUGCUCAACUUAUUUUUUUGUGGUUCUCUGGUUUAUUUGGAGAGCUUGAAAUCUAUUGAUUUUUCAGGAAAUCAAGCGAUGUCAGUGCUAGCUCCAAGCUAAGGGUGCAGAAAUCGGAACGCACUCGACAAAGAUGGUCCCGUCCAAGGAAUGGGUUGUUGAAGAUUAAUUCGGAUGCUGCUAUUGGAAAGGAUGGGUCAUGUGGUUUGGGUAUGGUUAUUAGAGAUUCCAAUGGUACAGUCAAAUGUCUAUGUCUAUCUUAGACGAUUGAGAAGCAGAAUUUAAGCUGCUACUUUGCUCUAACACAGGUGGCUGAUCUUUGUUUACUAGAAGUAAUGUUGGAGUUUGAUUGUAGAUCCAUGGUUCGGUUCUUCUUCAGCAGCGGGAUGCGCCUCUAUCUGAGUUGGGAAAUGGAAUUCUUCAUCUUCGAAGUGUAGCCGAUUGCUUUUAUCUCUUUUAGUUGCUCUCAUGUCUUAGGGAGGUUAAUAGUGUUGCUCAUUCUCUUGCCAGUAAAGCUCUAGAUCUCGAUGUUGAGGAGUUUGUAUGGGUUGAGGAAAUUCCUCCCCUUUUUGAUCUGCUUAUAGCUGGGGACUUGCUUCCUUCUUAGUGCUAUAAAAUUGAUGUUCUCCAUGGGGGCUUUCCCGAGUCUGCACAGUUGUUGGUAAGAACCAAGGCCUUAAUUGUUAUGAUAGAGACCUUCCAGGUUCUUGAUGUGGUUGCGUCUGAUCAUUUUUAACCUUUUCUUAAGGCUCUUUCCUUCUAGACCUGCAGCAGAGAACUAUUGAUGUUUGCAAUGGCUAUUGUAUAUUCUAGUUUCAUAGGCUUCAUGUUCAUUUAAUAUAUGCACAGCACGAGACAACUAGAAGGUUGAUGUGCACAAGUUUAAUGAUUGUGUCAAUGUGUUUCCUCUAUCAGUUCUAAAUCCUGAUUCUAGGUU